GGGCCCGCACAAGCAGCGGAGCAUGCGGCUUAAUUCGAUGCAACGCGAAGAACCUUACCUAGGCUUGACAUGCAUUGAAAACUGUUAGAGAUAACAGGUCCGCAAGGGCUUUGCACAGGUGGUGCAUGGCUGUCGUCAGCUCGUGUCGUGAGAUGUUGGGUUAAGUCCCGCAACGAGCGCAACCCUCGUCUUGUGUUGCCAACAGGUAAUGCUGGGAACUCACAAGAGACUGCCGGGGUCAACUCGGAGGAAGGUGGGGACGACGUCAAGUCAUCAUGCCCCUUAUGUCUAGGGCUGCACGCAUGCUACAAUGGCCGAUACAAAGGGCUGCGAUACCGCAAGGUGGAGCGAAUCCCAUAAAGUCGGUCUCAGUUCGGAUUGAGGUCUGCAACUCGACCUCAUG
rnacentral:rRNA from 1 species